rnacentral:tRNA from 1 species
GACCAGAUGCCCGAGUGGUGAGGGAGCGGUCCGCAAAACCGUGCACGCGGGUUCGAUCCCCGCUCUGGUCU